CGAAAUAGCUCAGUGGGUAGAGCAACGCACUCGUAACGCGUAGGUCACAGGUUCGAACCCUGCUUUCGGC
rnacentral:tRNA from 1 species